rnacentral:rRNA from 1 species
CAGUAGCCGCGGUAAUACGUAGGUGGCAAGCGUUGUCCGGAAUUAUUGGGCGUAAAGGGCUCGCAGGCGGUUUCUUAAGUCUGAUGUGAAAGCCCCCGGCUCAACCGGGGAGGGUCAUUGGAAACUGGGAAACUUGAGUGCAGAAGAGGAGAGUGGAAUUCCACGUGUAGCGGUGAAAUGCGUAGAGAUGUGGAGGAACACCAGUGGCGAAGGCGACUCUCUGGUCUGUAACUGACGCUGAGGAGCGAAAGCGUGGGGAGCGAACAGGAUUAGAUACCCCAGUAGUCCCUGUCUCUUAUAC